rnacentral:rRNA from 1 species
AUUGAACGCUGGCGGCAGGCCUAACACAUGCAAGUCGAGCGGAUGAGGAGAGCUUGCUCUCUGAUUUAGCGGCGGACGGGUGAGUAACGCCUAGGAAUCUGCCUGGUAGUGGGGGAUAACGUUCCGAAAGGAACGCUAAUACCGCAUACGUCCUACGGGAGAAAGCAGGGGACCUUCGGGCCUUGCGCUAUCAGAUGAGCCUAGGUCGGAUUAGCUAGUUGGUGAGGUAAUGGCUCACCAAGGCGACGAUCCGUAACUGGUCUGAGAGGAUGGUCAGUCACACUGGAACUGAGACACGGUCCAGACUCCUACGGGAGGGAGCAGUGGGGAAUAUUGGACAAUGGGCGAAAUCCUGAUCCAGCCAUGCCGCGUGUGUGAAGAAGGUCUUCGGAUUGUAAAGCACUUUAAGUUGGGAGGAAGGGUUGUAGAUUAAUACUCUGCAAUUUUGACGUUACCAACAGAAUAAGCACCGGCUAACUUCGUGCCAGCAGCCGCCGUAAAAC